rnacentral:rRNA from 1 species
GACGAACGCUGGCGGCGUGCUUAACACAUGCAAGUCGAACGAAGAGCGAUGGAAGCUUGCUUCUAUCAAUCUUAGUAGCGAACGGGUGAGUAACGCGUAAUCAACCUGCCCUUCAGAGGGGGACAACAGUUGGAAACGACUGCUAAUACCGCAUACGACCUAAUCUCGGCAUCGAGGAUAGAUGAAAGGUGGCCUCUACAUGUAAGCUAUCACUGAAGGAGGGGAUUGCGUCUGAUUAGCUAGUUGGAGGGGUAACGGCCCACCAAGGCGAUGAUCAGUAGCCGGUCUGAGAGGAUGAACGGCCACAUUGGGGCUGAGACACGGCCCAGACUCCUACGGGAGGCAGCAGUGGGGAAUCUUCCGCAAUGGACGAAAGUCUGACGGAGCAACGCCGCGUGAGUGAUGACGGCCUUCAGGUUGUAAAGCUCUGUUAAUCGGGACGAAAGGCCUUCUCGCGAAUAGUGAGAAAGG